ensembl:rRNA 5S_rRNA 5S ribosomal RNA
GCUUACAGCCAUACCACUCGGACAAAGCCUGAUCUCAGAAGCAAAGCAAAGUUGGGCCUGGUUAGUUCUUGGUUGGGAGACUGAAUGGGACUACUAGUUGCUGUAAGCU